UGGGGAAUAUUGCACAAUGGGGGAAACCCUGAUGCAGCAACGCCGCGUGAGUGAUGACGGCCUUCGGGUUGUAAAGCUCUGUCUUCAGGGACGAUAAUGACGGUACCUGAGGAGGAAGCCACGGCUAACUACGUGCCAGCAGCCGCGGUAAUACGGAGGUGGCGAGCGUUGUCCGGAUUUACUGGGCGUAAAGGGAGCGUAGGCGGACUUUUAAGUGAGAUGUGAAAUACCCGGGCUCAACGUGGGGGCUGCAUUUCAAACUGGAAGGCUAGAGUGCAGUAGAGGAGAAUGGAAUGCCUAGUGUAGCGGUGAAAUGCGUAGAGAUUAGGAAGAACACCAGUGGCGAAGGCGAUUCUCUGGACUGUAACUGACGCUGAGGCUCGAAAGCGUGGGGAGCAAACA
rnacentral:rRNA from 1 species